rnacentral:rRNA from 1 species
UACAGAGGUCCCAAGCGUUGUUCGGAUUCAUUGGGCGUAAAGGGCGCGUAGGCGGCCUGCUAAGUCGAACGUGAAAUCCCUGGGCUCAACCCAGGAACUGCGUCCGAUACUGGUUGGCUUGAAUCCGGGAGAGGGAUGUGGAAUUCCAGGUGUAGCGGUGAAAUGCGUAGAUAUCUGGAGGAACACCGGUGGCGAAGGCGGCAUCCUGGACCAACACUGACACUGAGGAGCGAAAGCCAGGGGAGCAAACGGG